UACAUGGGGUGCAAACGUUGCUCGGAAUUAUUGGGCGUAAAGCGCGCGUAGGCGGUUAUCUAAGUCGGAUGUGAAAGCCCUCGGCUUAACUGAGGAAGUGCACCCGAAACUGGAUAGCUAGAGUACGAAAGAGGGUCGCGGAAUUCCCGGUGUAGAGGUGAAAUUCGUAGAUAUUCGGAGGAACACCAGUGGCGAAGGCGGCUCACUGGUCCAUUACUGACGCUGAGGUGCGAAAGCGUGGGGAGCAAACAGG
rnacentral:rRNA from 1 species